UUAAAUUGAAGAGUUUGAUCAUGGCUCAGAUUGAACGCUGGCGGCAGGCCUAACACAUGCAAGUCGAACGGUAACAGGAAACAGCUUGCUGUUUCGCUGACGAGUGGCGGACGGGUGAGUAAUGUCUGG
rnacentral:rRNA from 2 species